CGGGGCUAAACACACCACCGAAGCUAUGACAUUGCAGCUUGCUGCAUUGGGUAGGGGAGCGUUGUAUAUAGGUUGAAGUUGGACCGUGAGGACUGGUGGACUGUAUACAAGUGAGAAUGCCGGUAUGAGUAACGAAAAGACAAGUGAGAAUCUUGUCCGCCGAAAGCCUAA
rnacentral:rRNA from 1 species